GGGGCAUUCCAAUCAUCCUAUCUCAUUCCUAUGCAAAAAUAAGAUUGGGAUGGGGUCGAGACUCUGAAACUCACUAUGUAGAAAAAGAAAAACUCAUUAUGUAGAAAAAGAAGAAAAAAAUGAAAGAAAAAUGAGAAAAGAAAAAGUGAAAGAAAAGAAGGAGAAAAACGAAACAAAAAAAGGGAAGGACAAAAAAAGAAUAAAAGGAAAGAAAGAUAGAA
rnacentral:lncRNA from 1 species